rnacentral:rRNA from 1 species
GGAGGGUGCAAGCGUUAAUCGGAAUUACUGGGCGUAAAGCGCGCGUAGGCGGUUUUUUAAGUCGGAUGUGAAAGCCCCGGGCUCAACCUGGGAACUGCAUCCGAUACUGGAAGACUAGAAUGCGGGAGAGGGAGGUAGAAUUCCAUGUGUAGCAGUGAAAUGCGUAGAUAUAUGGAGGAAUACCAGUGGCGAAGGCGGCCUCCUGGCUCGACAUUGACGCUGAGGUGCGAAAGCGUGGGGAGCAAACGGGAUUAGAUACCCCGGUAGUCCACGCCGUAAACGAUGUCUACUAGCUGUAGGGGUACUUGAGACCUUUGUAGCGCAGCUAACGCAAUAAGUAGACCGCCUGGGGAGUACGGCCGCAAGGUUAAAACUCAAAUGAAUUGACGGGGGCCCGCACAAGCAGUGGAGCAUGUGGUUUAAUUCGAUGCAACGCGAAGAACCCUACCAGGCCUUGACAUCCCCGGAACUUUCUAGAGAUAGAUUGGUGCCUUCGGGAACCGGGUGACAGGUGCUGCAUGGCUGUCGUCAGCUCGUGUCGUGAGAUGUUGG